ACACCAGAAGAACUAAGAAUGGUCAGUAUUGCCAAACAUGCACCAUCAUAAUUCCAUCUCCCAGCAUAGCUGAAAAAUAAGAAUAUUAAAAAUAUGAUAUUAUGCUGAUGAUGUUUAAGUUAUUGACUUUUGUCUUUAUUUUUUGGUUUAAGCAAUUGAUCUUGGUUUGCAUGGAAUGCAACCUAAGUGGUCCUUUAUGGGUUCAAUAAUUAAUAUGGAUUUUUGAACUCACUUGGAGCUAUAGUUGAAGAAAUGAUCUUUAUGCCUCUUUUCAUUGUUCUUGUACAUGCAUCUGAUUAAAAAAGAUUUUCUAGGUGUUGAAGGAGUAGCUUUCAUUUAGUUUUGGUAUUUGGAAUCUCUUAGGUAGCAGCUAUUCAAUAAUAGCAGCCAUUCAAUAAUUCCUGUCUUUGUCUUCUGUUUGCUGCUCACAUUUAUUGCCUUACACUUUAUAUUUGUGAAAGGCCCCUUCAUGGCUGAAUAACAUUGCAAUCAUGCAAGUGAUCUUGUACUCAAAUCCUAGAUCACACGGGAGCUUGUACUUGUGCAGCUCCUCUUUACUCAAUAUGCUUUCAUGUUUAAUGUGUUUUGUAACUGAAAAAAGUUUGGCCUAAAUCCUUCCAACUGAUUUUGCUUUAUUGCCUUGUAGCACACGGGCUUGAAAGGU
rnacentral:misc_RNA from 1 species